AGUUAUUUUAUCAAACCAUCACGUGCUUUAAUCACUUAAACAUUGUGGCUUUGGUUUAAACUAAUGAAACAACUCUAAACUUUUCAUUCAUCUUAUGUUAUUGCUUAGCUGUUGGUAGUCUAUGAUAUUAAUAAGUUGACAAUUAUUAUAUCAUCAUGCACAACUCACUAGCAUUAAGUAAAAACAAGUUUGAUAGCUCGCAUAUUAAUUAUGCAACAGUUGGUUAUUUUUUUUUGUCUAAUCAUGAUCAUGCUUUUGUAAAACAGAGCCAAAGAGAAAAAACGGAGCCAACAAGCAGUUGCCACCACCAUAUGUCCUCAUGCUUCGAAAGAUGGCUCUCAGCCACGAGCUUAUCGGAAACAGCACAAGCCGGUGCUUUCUCACGUCAUCAUAGCCUGACGAGCAUACACGCUAACAACUUGCUCGACACACACAAUCUCAACACGAGACUUCGGGUCGGCAAUUGUUCGGUAAACAUGCAUUUAGGCACGAGUUUAAAUUGAACUUGCUUUUUAUUAGGCACGAGUUUGCGGUCGACUCGCUUAUUGUUAGACACGAGUUUACAAAAACUUGUCUUUGGCUAGGCAUGAGUUUACAGAAACUCUCCUUCUACUAGGCACGAGUUCUCAGUAAACUCGCCCUUGUCUCAGCAUGAGUUUAGUAAACUCGUCUUUUGCUAAGCACGAGUCUAAAGCAAAUUCGCCUUUUAUUAGGCACAAGUUCAAAGUAAACUCGCCUAAAUCGUCCUAGGCAUACGUGUCUAAUUAAUUGUCUAAUAAACCCUAUUCGUAAAAUUCAUAGAGAUCGACUUCAUCUCUCUUUACGAACUUGGGGGGCUUACUGUUGGGGGUGGAUUUUACAACAACCUCAAGGCCCAUUAGACAAUAAUUAGACCCAUAUUGCUAGGAAGUCCUAGGCUUCAUCUUUCUAUAAAUAAGGAGCUCCUCCUUAUGGGAAAGGGAUCUUCUCCUCUUCUUAGAAUAGAAAAAACAUAUUUUCAUAGAGAUUUUGUAUUCUAAGUUUCACUUUACCUUUGUAAUAAACCUUUAUUCAAUGAAAUCUCUUUUAUAUUCUUUUUCCAUUUGAUUUCAUCUCAAGAUUUCUCCUAAGCCUCAAGAAUCUAAUCAUUCAACUUAGAUUCUUUUAUUGUAUUGAUUCAACAAACAUCACCAGCAUAAACACCAUUUUUGGAUCAAACAAUCUUUCCCAUUGCGUCCAUGUGGGAAUGUGGAUAACGAUAUGGAUGCAUAUCAGUGUUAGGUAAUAAUCUACUAGUACGCUCCUUGUGGAUUUAACCUCCAAGUACUAUAAUUGAUAUCUUAUUUGACAGAGUACACUUGGAGUAGUUUGAGUAUAUCAAGUAUUACAAAAUGUAACACCAUGUAUCUGACUUAACAACUGACUGUCAAAGCUCUUUCCUCCAGUAAUUAAACGACUUAAUUCACUCCCUUCCAUUUUCAUCACUGCCACAAUCUAGUUAGGUAAUCCCACCUGUUCUUUCAUUUUAGUCACCUAUUUCAUCUCUAUUUUCAAACAAUUUAAGAAUAUGUAUUCCAAAAAUUUCCUCUUCAAAAUGUACGUGAGUCGCCAACUCCUGAAAUUCUCGUACAUAUUAAGCAAUUGUUCCGGUUUGUUGAAUAUCAAAAAGCCUUUUCCCGUAGUAUUCUCAUACGACUAUAAAUCUCGCCAGCAUCCUCUUCUUUGACUAUCAUGCUCUCAGUGAUAUCUUUCUGGUUUUUGAUAAAAGAAGGGACUUGACAACUUACGAGAUAUACGUCCAAAUGGUCGAAAUCUACAGUGAACAAGUCUGAGACCUUCUUUCAUAAAAUUCCUCCUGCACAAUAUAUAAUAUCCUUUCGUGAGUCCCGCCGGAACUUUAAUUUACAUUACCAUUCCUGGUUUGUUACCUUUCUCACAUAGGCUGACCCUAUGUUCUUAAGUUUUCUUGACUAUACGCAUUACGCACAUUAGAUAUUCAGACUUGCUCCAGCAAGGACGAUGGCUUGAGUCUUCCUGAUGCUACAAUGCAUUCUGUGAACUAUACCAUGGAUGUACUUCAGCAGAUGGAGUUUGGUGAGGUGAAUAGGGAUGUUAGUUUCACGUCCAUAAACAAUCAAAGUAGUCGGUCUCACAGACACAUCUAGAGGUACCAUCCACAUCUAGAGGUACCAUCCGAAGUUGCUUGCAUCUGUUGAAUCUUGCAUGGAGCGCAACAGUAGAUAAAUCAGACGUUACAGAAGACAGACUCAAGGAAGCACAAUAUCGAAACAAAUCUGUUUCUUUUCUAGGAUAUGUGAUUUCUGUAUUGGGGUCAGAACAAUUCUCCAAUCUAUACCGAAACAGCAAGCUGAAUCUUCUACUCCAAGACGCAUUAGGUUGUCAAGCCAAAACACUGAUCUUUGCUCACUUGAGUCCUGAGGAAUACUUUUGGAUAAACAAUCAGUACUUUAAAAUUUGCACAAAGAGUUUCCACAGUAGAACUUGGCACUGCUUAUGCACACAAAGCGACUAGAGAGUUAUGCAUCCCAAGUGGCAGGUUUGUAACCAGUAGCCAGUUAAUUAUAGAUAUUGUGAGCCAACAAUCAUUUUCCAGGACAACUUUGAAGGCAUAUAAACUCUGUCUGGAUGACCACUCUGCAUCACACAUUGGUAUUCCAAAGUUUAGGGAUACAUACGUACAGUUCAUACAUACCCACUAGAAAUGCUCGGAGGCAACUGAAGUUUUCUUGGAACUUGGUCGAACAAAGGGUUCGUGUCAAUCAAGGAAUUUGAUCUUUGCAUCUUUGUAGUGCCCAUGUCUUCAUGAUGUUUCAGACAAACAUUACAUAAACUUUAUGAAACAAUUACACUUAUAAACACUUUUUGACUU